UUCAGAAAAGGAUAUGAAUUGU
rnacentral:miRNA from 1 species